AUCUAAGGGGGUGGAGUUUUGAGUAGGAGUUCAUAUAUACUGCAAUAACCCGUUCAUUAGGGUAAGGGUGAUCAAGUUCACCGAGUUUGUUGAUUAGGAGAACUCUGUGCCUCAUGGAAAGUGCAGGGUUGGUAAUGAUCAUUGAAGUAAGAUUACAAUAGAUGAGGAAGUGAAUGAGGGAAAGGAGCAAAAAUGUGCUUAGCCACGGGCAUGGAAGAAAUGUAGCAGGUGGAUCCAGAACCCAAAUGAGUGCAUCUGUCUUGAAUGGGAGAAGCUUAUCCCAGGGAAGGCAUUAAGGGGUAAAUAUUGGGGAGGAGCUAGUUGAGAGGGUUGCUUUAGUAUUUCUAUUUCAGUAGAGUCUGAAGUCAUCUCCUCAAAGUGGAGGAGAUUUUGUUGGUAGGGGCUUUCAGGAUAGUGAAAUGGAAGGUGCCCCCAUGAAUGGGCCAGUGAAACUUUGCUGUAGAACUUGCUGAGGUUAGAAAGCAUGGCUAAGAUUGGUACCAUCUUUCAGGAUUAUUUCAAUUGCUGUAGUGCUAGAGGCAUAGGGACAGCUUAAGUACUGAAUACAGGAAACUGAGUUACAAUAUUGAUCCAUGAGAGUGUUCUGCCCAUCACGUGGGGAGCAAGAACAGAGCAGGAAGGGAAUUGUGUGGGCAGGGAAAGGAGAAGUUUAGGAGGCCUAGGGUGAAGGGGAUCAGACCAGACCAGGAGGAAAAGAAAGGCCAAGGUGCAAAUUAACUUGGUGAGCAGCUGUGGUGGGGGAGGAGGUAGGAAUGUUGGCUGUAGAAUGAUUACUAAUGGGAUUUUAGAGUUUUCAUUUUCUGAUAUGGCACAGUUCGGGGUGAUAAUGAGGUCAGGAGGGACACAGAGGGAGCAGGUGGCUAGAGUAGAAUGUAGGUCAAGGCUAUAUUAGGUAGAUUUGGUCUAUUAUCCACUCCCACCUUUAUUCAGGGGAUGUUUUGGAGAUGUGAAAAGAAUCCCCUCUUCCACACCUUCAGAAAUUGUUUAAAUAUCAGAGACACAAGGCAUGAUUUAUAUUCGGUUUGCAAAACUUCCCCGUGUAUGGAAACAGUUUUGCAAAUUAGCUGAGAAAAGUUGAAGCUUUCUUCAUCUGCCAUGAAAGAGGCUCUGCCAACACAAGAUAAUGAAAGGAUAUUAUCUUCUGAUUGCUAAUUAGCAGCUGAAAUGAAUGCGUAACCUUGAUACUGCCAAGUUCCCUCUGUUAAUAUCCGCCCUUCACGGGGGCAGAGGAAAGAGAACUGGGAUGCUUUUGCAACCUGCUGGGUCAAGUGUAGAACUCUCUUUUAGUGAAAUCUCUUCUGAUCAUAUGUUAUGCAGACUUUAAUACACUCUCUGACUACAAUGAAAUUGCUAAUAACAUACUUGGUAUUGAUUUGGUUCUAAAGCUCCAAAUAAAAAGAUGGUUAUGGUAAAAUCAAUCAUUUGGAAGUGUGGAUAGUGGAUUUUUUAAUCUAUUAUUCUGGUUAUCUUGGAUUAAUACUGGAUGUGUCAAUCAUAUUUUGACAUAUUACUAUGAUUAGUGUAGGUUUAUGUGAAAAGGACCUGAGAAACAGAGAUCCAGGAAAAUAAACAUCUUCAUAAAUAUUGAGAAUAGUACCCUCGUUUUUGAUAUCUGUUAAGAUGUGUUUAGUUAUAACUGACCUUAGAGAAUAAUGGUAAAAAAAAAAAAAACCUCAAAUGAUGCUUUCAUUGACCUCUAAUGGGUUUUAUAUCCCUAACCUUCAAAUAUUCUUUAUUGUCAGAGCUCAAAUAUUGUAUUCUGCAAUAUUAUGGAUAACCAUGACUGACAAGUCACAAAAGCAAUGUGCAUAUUCAUUAGUUCAGUCAAAAAACUGAACAAACCACUGGACAAAAGUCAACCAAAAUAGUUAAUUAGUGGACUAAAAUAGCUUAAUUUUCAGUUUACUGUUUUAGCUAUUCAGAUGUCUAGGUAUUUUACUGUUGUCUGAGUCUCAGCAUUAGUUUCUCAGGCUGACUUGUUUGUGAAAUGUGCCUUAUGAGCUCCAGCUAGUGAUUGAGAUUUUCUUCAUUUCUGUUCCCUAGUUUAUCUUGGGGGAAUGCUGCUGAUUCUUGUUCUAGGCCUCUGGGGGUGUUGGGAGGAUUCUCUGUGAAAAUACUGUGAAUUCUUCAGGCGGACACACUAGAGGCUUAGAGGUCAAAGCAUUGCUGCAUUGUUAACCUUGGAGGUGUUUAUGACGGAAAGUACGUGAAUGGGUAUCUGAGUAUCCGUAGUGGGUUGAAUGUUGGUCCUCGAAAGAUAUGCCCAGGUCCUAGACCUUGAAACUUGUGACUAUGACCUUAAUAGGAAAAAGAGUCUUUGGAGACAUAAUUUAGUACAGGAUCUUGAGAUGAGAGUAUCUGGGACUAUCCCAGUGGAUUCUAAACCCUGAAAAGUGUCCUUAAAAGAAACACAGAGGGAAAAAACAAUAAAACAAACAGAAACAACGUGAUGGCCAUGUGAAGACACAGGCAGAGAUUGGAGUGACGCAUCCACAAGCCGGGGAACUCCAAGAACCACCAGAAGCUGAAAGGCAAGAAAGCAUUCUCCCUACAGCACUCAGAAGCAGCAUGGCACUGCUGAAACUUUGAUUUUGGAUUUCUGGACUCCAGAAUAGAGAAUACCCAGUUUGUGGCAAUUGACUCUAGCAGCCCUAGAAGUACAUGAACAAGCCUAAAAGAUACCCCUCUUCUUUACUUGUCUGGGAUACUUCUCACUAAGCACAUUAUUGUAUAGUUUGUAAGUUGUUCUACUAAAAUCAUACAUUUAACCUCAUGCAGGAGUGAGAAUUUUUCUGGUUUUAGAAUGAGACAUGGUCUGUUUCUGUGCUAAGAACUGUAUAAAGAAGUUGACCAAAUAAAGCUGCCUGCCCAGAUAACUAAAAUCUUCCGAAAUCUGUUAUGUCCUCAUGCAACUGAAUAAUCCAGGAAGGCAAAGACUUACAUCUUAGUUGUCUGAGCUGCACAGACCAGAACAUGCGGGUACAGCAAUGUCAUUGUGUACCACCAGAACCCAAAGUGCUUUACUGACUGUUUAAAUGUUAUGUUUCUUUUGCCUAGGACUCAUUAAUCAAUAUGCAGAAUUCACUAAAUCUAAGAAAUUCAUUAAAUCUAAGAAAUAAUCAAUUUGUUGAAAUCAAAAUAACUUUUACAGCUUUCACUCAUUCAUUAAUUCAUCCAAUCUUGCCACAAAUCAUGAGAUACCUACACUAUACAAGUCCCUGAGAUACUUGGUGAAAACAAAAGACAAGGACCCAAAGUUCCCUUGGAACAUACAAUCUGUGAUAGUGUGUGUUUAGGAACAUAGUAGAAUUACUUAAAUACUACUUAAGUCUAAACUGAAAUGGCAUUCUACAGUUCUCACGUGACUGACAAAACCAUGGCUCUGACAACAUCAAAGUGUCUGCUACACAAAGGUAUAUGUCCCGAUACAAUCUGGAUACCAGAAAUACCUGAUGUUAUGUAAGGAAUUCAUAGAGUGGAAAUGUGGUAUGCAUAAAGCAAAUGAAUUAGCACGAUACUGAGGUGCGUGACUAUAUUCUUUAUUUUGAAGACUUGUGUACUGAUUACAUAUUUCUUCAGAUGCAUUGUUGGUAUUCUUUGAGAUGAAAAUAAAAAGCAGAAGUCCCUGGAAAUAUGGAUGAUAGGGAAAGCCACUUUUGGAGCCUAUGUUUGCUAUUCAUCAUCUGAAAAUGAGAAACCUUUCCUUACCCUUUGAAUACCCGAAGAUACCAAGGCAUCUGAUCUGUUCUCAGCUUACACCAGAGAAUUCCGUAUUACGUCACAUUGCCUCCUGGAGUUCUACAGGGAUUCCCAUUUGUCCUUUAGCAUGAUAGUCCUGAUCAUUAGACUUGCACAGCUCCACCAGUCACUCCCCUCGUCAGAUCCUGAGAUCAUCUGGAUAGCUGGAUUCUGUCCUCAACUUGUAUCUUGAAACUCUCUGCAUCAUUGAGACCAGGAGAAAGAGGAGAGUGAGGCAGCAGGAGCAAGGUUUGGAAGGCAGUGGGACAAACUCGAAGAACCAGCAUGGAGAAGCUCACCUCCACGUACUGCUCCCCACCCCGAACCCUAGCCCAUCCAAGAUAUUAAAAGGCCCAGCCUGCUGGGGUCUGGGCCCUUUGCCAUGUGUUUGGGCUAUAGGCACACUGGCAGUUGGUUGACCUCUGCGAGUUUAUUUUCUUUGAAUAAAUUCAAUCUGGCUACAAGUUCAUACCCUGUCUCCUUUCUGUUCUGUGCCCCUUUUUUCUUACGUGGAAUACUUCCCAUUUAUGCAUCCAACAGUCAAGGAAAGGCUGAACAUCUUGAAGUGCCAGGCAUUAUGCUAGGGUAAGACAGAUAAAACUAUCUCUGCUCCCAGAGGUCAGACAGAAAAAUCUGACUAGAGUAUGGGACACUGAAGACAGUGAGCAGGAAGAAUCAGAACCAGAGCAAAAGAUGGAAAUGAGCAGUGGCCUAGAUGCCUCCUCCAGCCAUACCCAAGCCGUGCUGCAGCCUGAGUGAUGGCGGACCCUUUGAAACUGCCUCAUCUUCGCCAUGUUUAUUUCUGGCCAGUAGUCAUGU